rnacentral:rRNA from 1 species
GAGUUUGAUCAUGGCUCAGAUUGAACGCUGGCGGCAUGCCUUACACAUGCAAGUCGAACGGCAGCAUGAUCUAGCUUGCUAGAUUGAUGGCGAGUGGCGAACGGGUGAGUAAUACAUCGGAACGUGCCCUGUAGUGGGGGAUAACUAGUCGAAAGAUUAGCUAAUACCGCAUACGACCUGAGGGUGAAAGUGGGGGACCGCAAGGCCUCAUGCUAUAGGAGCGGCCGAUGUCUGAUUAGCUAGUUGGUGGGGUAAAGGCCCACCAAGGCGACGAUCAGUAGCUGGUCUGAGAGGACGAUCAGCCACACUGGGACUGAGACACGGCCCAGACUCCUACGGGAGGCAGCAGUGGGGAAUUUUGGACAAUGGGCGAAAGCCUGAUCCAGCAAUGCCGCGUGUGUGAAGAAGGCCUCGGUUGUAA